rnacentral:rRNA from 1 species
UACGUAGGGGGCAAGCGUUGUCCGGAAUCAUUGGGCGUAAAGAGCGCGUAGGCGGUCCGGUAAGUCCGCUCUGAAAGUCCGGGGCUCAACCUCGGAUCGGCCGUGGCGACUCGUGGGCUGAAGCACUGUAGAGGCGGGUGGAAUUCCGGGUGUAGCGGUGGAAUGCGUAGAGAUCCGGAAGAACACCAGUGGCGAAGGCGGCCCGCUGGGCAGUGGCUGACGCUGAGGCGCGACAGCGUGGGGAGCAAACAGG